GACGCUGUAGCUCAGUGGUAGAGCACUAAUAUAUCCUGUCCGAACCUUGUCCGGAUUUCCGGGCCGAUGGCUCAGGGUUACCGACUGUUAAUCGAGAGGUCGUGGGUUCGAGUCCCACCAGCGUCC
rnacentral:tRNA from 1 species